AUUGGCUUCUGCUAAGCAUAGGCCUUGUUCGUGUUGAGGGUGAGGUGAGAUCUGAAUUUCACAAAGCUCCUUAGCUUUAUCUAAUUCUUAUUCAAUUUCCCCAUGGAUAAAAUGUUGUUGUACUUUAGUAGAUAAUCUUAUCAAUAAUCUUAGUAGAUAAGCUUAUAGAUAAUUUUUCCUCCUAUAUUCUCAGAUUGAGUGAAAUGAUGCUAUAUGUCCUUGACAAAGUAUUUAGGUCUUAGUACAAUUGAUACUUGCCUUUCUAUUUAUUUCUAUUAUGGUGUCUUAUUAUCAGUGUAACAAGUAUUCCACCAUGAUGUUGCUUUCAGUUAAAAAAGUUUUAGUUGUAAGUUACAUGAUGAUCCCAAUCGCAUUGCCUAACAAUGGACAAACAGUAACGCUUGACCAAUGCACUAUAUCUGGUAGUAGCCGUGUUGGGCCAGCGGCAACAUAGUGGUGUUGCCAUGGUUUUUCUGAUGCAUUUUUUGGGCCAGUGGAGUAAUGGACAAUGGCAAGGCUUGUCAAACAUGUGGCGGCUGGAUCCUGAUGGGUGAUGACAGAUCGAGCUGCCGCUGAUCAGGGUCUCUGAUGGAGGGGUGCUUCAGCCUGAUGGUGAAUGGGUACAUGGACAGAUAUGCAGUGAGAUUGGGAGGAUGCCUGGUGUGCUUGAAGCUGCGACCAGUUUGUGCUGUUUCUUUCGCUGAUUUAUGUAGCUUCUAAGACAAUGGAUAUAUAGUUAGGUGGUUGUGGGAAGAUAAAUCGUUGCUGGGGUUUCAGACCUGUUUUUGUUUUGAUUUGCUGCGCAGAGUGGUUUGCUAGGUGAUGUUUUGCUUGGGCGUAAGAUGACGUAAAACUUUUGUAUCAUGUUGCAAGGCACGAUGGGCAAGGGAAUUUGUCCCUUGAAGAACUCUAGUAAAAAACUACAAAUAAGUAAUUUAUCAGGGAAUGGAGGUGUAACAGUUUACUAGCUAGUUUAUCCAAAGAAAAGAGAAGAUAUGAUGGUUCUGGGUAGUGUGGUUGACUAAGGAUAGAGAUUCCUA
rnacentral:lncRNA from 1 species